UGUCUAUUAAUUGUAGACCAGUAUGAAAGGCAAAAUGAGGGUUUAUCUGUCUCUUACAAUUAAUCAAUUAAACUGAUCUUCUAGUAAAAAAGCUAGAAUACACACAUAAGACCAGAAGACCCUGUGAAGCUUAAACUAAAGUAUUAAAUCCUAUAAUACCAACUUUCGGUUGGGGCGACCUUGGAAAAAAAAAGAACUUCCAAAUAUAUGACCACACUCACAUACAGGCCAACAAGCCUCCCAAUAGACCCAGUACACCUGACAAUUGAACCAAGUUACUCCAGGGAUAACAGCGCCAUCUUCUUCAAGAGUCCAUAUCAAAAAGAAGGUUUACGACCUCGAUGUUGGAUCAGGACAUCCUAAUGGUGUA
rnacentral:rRNA from 1 species